UUUCCGUAGGUGAACCUGCGGAAGGAUCAUUACUGAGGUAUGCUUGGUGUCGUGUCAAAAGCGCGCCGGUUACCCGCCCAUAUGUCAUAUGCUCUGGCCCUACCUGCCUCACGGCAGGGCAGGCCAGGAACAUAAUUUCGGUCGAGGAGUUGUGGCAGGUUCUUGCUCUGCAGGACCGACAUGACCGCGGCCGGCCUCAUUUUACACUCUUGUGAGAAGAUGAAGUCUGAAGCAAAUGCGAAUUAAAAGCAAAACUUUCAACAACGGAUCUCUUGGCUCUGGCAUCGAUGAAGAACGCAGC
rnacentral:misc_RNA from 1 species